rnacentral:misc_RNA from 1 species
GAUGAAGAACGUAGCGAAAUGCGAUAAGUAGUGUGAAUUGCAGAAUUCAGUGAAUCAUCGAAUCUUUGAACGCACAUUGCGCCCCUUGGUAUUCCAUGGGGCAUGCCUGUUCGAGCGUCAUUUGUACCUUCAAGCUCUGCUUGGUGUUGGGUGUUUGUCUCGCCUCUGCGUGUAGACUCGCCUCAAAACAAUUGGCAGCCGGCGUAUUGAUUUCGGAGCGCAGUACAUCUCGCGCUUUGCACUCAUAACGACGUCGUCCAAAAGUACAUUUUUACACUCUUGACCUCGGAUCAGGUAGGGAUACCCGCUGAACUUAAGCAUAUCAAUAAGCGGAGGA